rnacentral:rRNA from 1 species
AACGUAGGAGACGAUCGUUAUCCGGAGCUACUGGGCGUAAAGGGCGUGCAGGCGGUCUGAUAAGUUCGGCGUGAAAUAUUCCGGCUUAACCGGGAUAGGUCGUCGGAGACUGUCGGACUAGAGGGUGAUAGAGGCGUGUGGAAUUCCGGGUGUAGUGGUGAAAUGCGUAGAGAUCCGGAGGAACACCAGUGGCGAAGGCGACACGCUGGGUCACACCUGACGCUAAAGCGCGACAGCAUGGGGAGCGAACGGG